UCCCCAGCGGUCCAGUGGUUAGGACACGGCACUUUCAUGCCAUGGAGCAGGUUCGAUUCUUGGUUGGGGAG
rnacentral:tRNA from 1 species